rnacentral:rRNA from 1 species
GGAGGGUGCAAGCGUUGUUCGGAAUUAUUGGGCGUAAAGAGCGUGUAGGCGGUUCGGUAAGUCAGAUGUGAAAGCCCUGGGCUCAACCCAGGAAGUGCAUUUGAAACUACCAGACUUGAGUACGGGAGAGGAGGGGGGAAUUCCCGGUGUAGAGGUGAAAUUCGUAGAUAUCGGGAGGAAUACCAGUGGCGAAGGCGCCCUCUGGACCGAUACUGACGCUGAGACGCGAAAGCGUGGGGAGCAAACAGGAUUAGAUACCCUGGGUAGUCCACGCCGUAAACGAUGAGCACUAGGUGUAGCGGGUAUUGACCCCCCUGCUGUGCCGUAGCUAACGCAUUAAGUGCUCCGCCUGGGGGACUACGGUCGCAAGACUA